UACGGGGGGUGCGAGCGUUAAUCGGAAUAACUGGGCGUAAAGGGCCCGUAGGCGGACUUUUAAGUCUGGUGUGAAAUCCCCGGGCUUAACCGGGGAAUUGCAUUUCAUACUGGGAGUCUAGAGUACUUUAGGGAGGGGUAGAAUUCCACGUGGAGCGGUGAAAUGCGUAGAGAUGUGGAGGAAUACCGAAGGCGAAGGCAGCCCCUUGGGAAUGUUCUGACGCUCAUGUGCGAAAGCGUGGGGAGCAAACAGG
rnacentral:rRNA from 1 species